rfam:Cavia porcellus supercont2_1 genomic scaffold, whole genome shotgun sequence.
UGGUGCCCAUCGUGGGGCUCCUGGCACAAAGGGCUCAACGAGGGAGCCAUCCUGAGACACACGUGUAAAAGUAAAACUAAAAGUUUUGUGACCAAUGCUACGCGGGAGCCUGCCGCGCCGCUAGUGUCAUGGUAAGUGGACGGCGAUCCUUUUCCCUUUUCUCUGGCAUGGGUCAGGCAUUAAGUGACCAUAAACGCUUUGUAUCAAGUUUAAGUAAAGCUUUAAAGACAAGAGGGAUAAAGGCUAAAAAAAAAGAGAUUUAUUGUAGUAUUUUCAAUUUAUUCAUAAGGUUUGCCCUU